rnacentral:lncRNA from 1 species
UCUGCGACAUCACCUCUCAUUCUCCCGAAUCUCCCAUCUCAUGCUUGAUCUAUCUCCACUUGAAGCUCUACCUCGCACUGGGCUCCCCGUAGCUCUUAAAGCUCCACCUCGCAUUGGGCUCCCUAUCAAGUAGUAAUAUCCUCUCAUCCUUCUCUCCCUCCAGAAUAAUGUUGACAGGAUCAAAUCUUCUCUUGCUGAUCGUAGAUCACAAAAGCAGUAGCAAGAAUAAGAGGAAAACUAUGAUGGUGGAUCAGAUCAGGCCUAGAAGGAUCCUAGGCAUGAGGAAGAAGAGAGGAGAAACAUGAGAGAGGGAG